GCUGGGCAUGGCAGUGCGUGCCCAUAGUCCCAGCUACUUGGAAGGCUGGAGGAUUGCUUGAGUCCAGGAGUUCUAGCCUGUAGUGCGCUAUGCCAAUCAGGUGUCCGCACUAAGUUCAGCAUCAAUAUGGUGACCCCCCCCCAGGAGUGGGGGACCACCAGGUUGCCUAAGGAGGGUGAACCGGCCCAGGUCGGAAAUGAUGGACGUCAAAACUCCCAUGCUGAUCAGUAGUGGGAUCAUGCCUGUGAAUAGCCACUGUAUUCCAGCCUGGGCAACAUAGCGAGACCCUGUC
rnacentral:SRP_RNA from 1 species